UACGGGGGGGGCAAGCGUUGUUCGGAAUUACUGGGCGUAAAGGGCGCGUAGGCGGUUUGCUAAGUUGAAUGUGAAAACUCUGGGCUUAACCCAGAGCCUGCAUUCAAUACUGGCAGGCUAGAGUUCUGGAGGAGAUAGCGGAAUUCCUGGUGUAGCGGUGAAAUGCGUAGAUAUCAGGAGGAACACCGGUGGCGAAGGCGGCUAUCUGGACAGAGUCUGACGCUGAGGCGCGAAAGCUAGGGGAGCAAACAGG
rnacentral:rRNA from 1 species